UACUUGACCUAGAGCGGCGCACGGGUGCGUAACGCGUAUGCAACCUACCUUUUACUGGGGGAUAGCCCGGAGAAAUCUGGAUUAAUACCCCAUAGUACCUAAGGAUCGAUUGGUUUUUAGUUUAAAGAUUUAUCGGUAAAAGAUGGGCAUGCGUCUGAUUAGCUAGUUGGCGGGGUAACGGCCCACCAAGGCGACGAUCAGUAGGGGUUCUGAGAGGAAGGUCCCCCACACUGGCACUGAGAUACGGGCCAGACUCCUACGGGAGGCAGCAGUAGGGAAUAUUGGGCAAUGGUCGCAAGACUGACCCAGCCAUGCCGCGUGCAGGAAGACGGCCCUCUGGGUUGUAAACUGCUUUUAUCUGGGAAGAAAAAGUCCAUGCGUGGAAAAUUGCCGGUACCAGAUGAAUAAGCACCGGCUAACUCCGUGCCAGCAGCCGCGGUAAUACGGAGGGUGCAAGCGUUGUCCGGAUUUAUUGGGUUUAAAGGGUGCGUAGGCGGCUG
rnacentral:rRNA from 1 species